rnacentral:rRNA from 1 species
AUUCCAGCUCCAAUAUGUAUAUAAAGUGUUGAGUUAAAAAGCUCGUAGUUAACCUUGGGUCUGGCUGGCCGGUCCGCCUCACCGCGAGUACUGGUCCGGCUGGACCUUUCCUUCUGGGGAACCUCAUGGCCUUCACUGGCUGUGGGGGGAACCCCGACUUUUUCUGUGAAAAAAUUAUAGUGUUCUGAGCAGGCCUUUGCUCGAAUACAUUAGCAUGGAAUAAUAGAAUAUGACGUGCGGUUCUAUUUUGUUGGUUUCUAGGACCGCCGUAAUGAUU